CAGCUUCCUAGUUUAUCCUGAGUUAGAAACUAGAAACUCCAUUCAGUUGCCAUCUUAUUGCCCAAUGCAGAGAUCGAAAUUCUGUGGUGGCACAAAAUUCAAAUAAUUAGAAGGUUCGAUAACAUGCCAUGAUUAUCAGGAAAUCAAAAUUCAAGAAAGUACACAUGUAUUAGGGGUCGGGGCUAUUCCUCGUUCAAUACUCGUCAUUCUAAAAGAUGAUCUUGUUGAUGUUGUUAAAGCAGGAGAUGACGUUAUAGUCACUGGGGUCUUAACUGCAAGGUGGUCACCUGACUUAAAAGAUGUUCGCUGCGACCUUGAUCCUGUGUUGAUUGCUAAUCAUGUGAGGUACCGGGAAAUCUCAGUUCUUGAAAUUUGCUGCAAAGUUAAGUAACAGAUCUGUUGUCACUACUGGCUUAGGAAGCACUAGUGCUGGACUCACUGUCACUGCAGUCAAGGAUGGAGGUUGGGGAUCGAAUUGGCAAGGAGCAUUGCAAAGUAAUUUGCAAGAG